CAUCCUGAGACACGUUUAUGACCUGCUGAGCAUCUUCAGUCCCUGUGGCUUCAGUCAUAGCCAAAGGUGUUGGGGAUGACUGAGACCAUACUGGUCCACCUGAAAAACACUAAAAAUUCUUCUUUCGCCAUGAAGGAACUGAUGGGAUUAACCUCACCUACAAAACCAUCUGAUUUAUCUGAGAACACAUUUCAGGAGAGCCCAACCAGUCUGUUCAUUAUGGAUUUACCUCCCUUUGACAGCAACAGCACAGCUUGCCAGGCAAAACAACCUUCAAAGGAGCUUGGGACAAGGAGAAAUCAGGAGCAUCUGACUGGCCUGGGAAAACAGCUCAGGGAUCUCGUGAGUAAUGUACUUUUUGCCGGAAAAAGUGAACUGGCCAUAGUAAGUGCAGUUCAAUUCUUCAACUUUGGCACCAUUUCCCCACUCCAAGGCCCAGCUCUGAGCCCCACAGUGACAUCACUGAGCAGAACUGCGGACGUUUUUCAGGCCAUUUUAUUUUCACUUCAGAAGUAAGAGUUUGAUUCAUUUGCAGGGAAUGGAAAUACCACAAUUAUACAACUACCUAGUGAUUUAAAAAUUAAGCUUUUCAAACGCGAAGGCAUUAUACCAAUGACAUGCAUUUAAUCCCACAUGGAAAGAGGCCUCCCCAGAGGCUUUUUAAACCACAUUAGCACCACUCACUGUAGCAUGUGCUUUGCUUUAUGACAGGGCCACAUCUCCCAUUCAGGAGAAGACUCUGAUUGCCCAUGAGUUGUAACCAGCACCAUUUAGAAAUGAAACUAUGUGCUUAAGUGGUGCAGAGGCUGAUCAGCCACCAAAGUUGAACUUUAGAUUUAUUUUUCCACAAACAUCUGUCCUAGUUAGAACAGCUGGGACCAGUUCAUCACUGGACGGGAGUAACCCAAAACUGUGUAUUCCAUAGCCUUCCAUGCCAUUGCCCAGAAACUGUUAUCACUGAACCAUUUACACCCUCUGCCCAUACAGCCUGACUCCUCAGGCUGUAAACUGGGUGUUCAGAGGCCUGUGAGAUAUGAGGAUGCUCCUGUGCUCACACCCAGUGUGGAACUCCCCGCCCUGAGGGAGGGACUGGGCAUUCCUGCCUGAACUGGAGGAUAGAUAAUCUUGGAGUCUUGGGACUUUUUUAACCACUCGUGGGAUCCAGAGGAAGACUGCAGACCACCACUCUUGACCAGACUGCACCACCACUUUCACCAACAGGUUUUUUUUCCCCUCUUCCUUUACUUUGGACUCAGGGGGCCCAACCAACACCACUCUGUUCAUGCCCCAGGGUGCUGGGUUAUACAUUUGGGGUUUGUGGGUUAAAACCAACUGUUUGUCUGUA